rnacentral:misc_RNA from 1 species
UGCCAAUUACUACUGCCCUCCCCACACCCAACCCAUCUUCUUUUGUAAACAUAAUUUGACCAUGCCUAGGCAUGAUUCCAGAAAGCCUGAAACUCCAAAAAAAACUUGCAAAGAAGAUAAUUAGUCACAGAUAAUUUAAUUGCUGGGGAUGCAACACGAUAUAAUAACAUUCUGCGAUGAUAUUUCUAAAAAUCUUCUUUACACAAUUUGAAACAAGCAAUUUAACGAGUAUUCAAUUCAGUUUUUUCAUCUCAAUACAAAGGGAAAGUCAAGCCAGCUUCCCCUUUUGAUGCAAUUCACUGGAACCAGCAGUAACAACUAAAAUACAUAUCAUAGCAGUUGAAUUCAUGAGUAUGGAUUGAUCAUAUCACCACGUUCAUUAGCCUUCCUCUCCAAACUCCUUUGUGAAUCUCUCAUGAACCUCUAAAUCAGCUUUGCUCACAGUUGGCCUUUGCCUUGCAAGGACCUUAUCAAAAUCCGUUUUUGUGAUAGGAGGGGGAAGGAUCUGGGCUGCUAGUCCUUGUGCUGCCAGUUCCUGCAUGGUAAUUUGGACAGCACCCGGUUGCUUUGGUCCACAUGGCACCCACAUGCCAUUAGGAGUCUCGACGAAAAACAUGGCAUCCUGUGUUUUACGAACAGGUUCAAAGAGGACAUCCUUGACACAAACAGAAAUAUCUGAACCCGAAAAACCCUCAGUCUUGCGAGCUAAGACUUCAAAAUCACUUUCGGUCAAGUUGUGAGGGGUAUCUCCAAGAUGCACUUUGAACAUGUGCUGCCGAGCCUUCAAAUCUGGGAGAGGAAUAUAUAUACGCUUGUCAAAACGUCGCCUGAUGGCCUGUAAUCACUAAGAUUAGCACCAGAGCCAAAUAGUCUCAGAAUUCAACAUUAAAUUGAAAAAGUCCUUUGAUAAUAUCCUUACCUGAUCUAGGGCAUAUGGUGUGUUCGUUGCUGCAAGAACAAGAACUUUCUGGUCAUUGUUACCUACACCCUGCAUCUGCACAAGUAGUUCUGUCUUGAUACGUCUUGAAGCUUCACUCUCAUUACCUUCACCACGCUGGCCACACAAGGAAUCUAUCUCAUCAAUAAAAAUAAUUGAAGGAGCACUUUCACGUGCCAUCUGGAAAAGAUUUGACACAAGCUUUUCACUCUCACCCAUCCACUUAGAAACCAGGUCUGAAGAAGAUAUACUGAAAAAAGUCGAGUCGGCCUCAGUUGCAACUGCCUUGGCUAAGUAAGACUUCCCAGUUCCUGGUGGCCCAUACAAAAGAAAAGCUCUCCAAGGUCGUCUCUUCCCUAAAAGAAAGAGCAAAUGAAGCAAAUAACAGGAUUAACAGAAUAAAGCUAGUCAAGAUUUUAUUUCAAAAUGUAAAUAGAGAAGUUACAACGUUGUCAAAAACAGAAUAGCUGCAAAAAUGACUAAAUUCCAUCUCCUAACCCAUGGAUUACAUAAAAGAACAGUAAAAGUAUAGCAAUAACAACUACAAGAGACCUUCAUUAUGCCUUCAUUCUAACUGUUUUGUGUGCCAAUUAAGAACGUUAGAUAUCCAAAUUCCAAAAACCUUGCCCAAAUAUAUGGAACAUGACAGCGUAUGUAUGCCACUAUUCCCAUUUACAACCUCAAGAGUCCAGAUAAAAUAGUGCUGCCAAGACAGUUCCCAAACAUGAUGAGCAGAGAAACAUUUUUGUAGAGGAAAAAGUUCAACUAGUUUACCUAAGGCAAACCCAGAAGUUCUCAAAUGAUUUUCUCAUUUGCAAUAUCCUGGCGCAUAAUAAACUCAAUAGACUCGAAACAGCAAAACAAAACUACAGAGUAGGAAAAUUAGCAAAAUUGCUACGACAACAAGAGAUUCACAAAUCAUGUAUCAAAAAUCAUUUUGGAGGCGGUACAAUACAACCAACUAUUAUAAAACCGCACAAUGUCACAACUAUCAACCAAUUUCAAUCUCUACCAUUAAUCUAUUUGCUUCAUGAAACCAAGGUGAAAAUACCAAACGUACAGAACAAGAGCAAAAAACCCAGAGGAAAAAAGUUGGGGUAGGAGCAAAAAUCACCUGUAAAGAAUUGGGGGAACUUAACAGGCAAAAUAACAGCUUCCUGUAACGCCUGUUUCGCACUCUCAAGUCCAGCCACAUCAUUCCACUUAAUGUUUGGCUUCUCCCUAAUAAUCGCAGAAUUCAACCCAGAUCUCAAUUUGGCCUGUUCCGGAUCCUCACCAUCUUCUCCAUCUUUGGGCUUGGUCUUGGGGCGGGUAGCAACAGCGGCAUCACCAUUGGAGGCAGGCCCAGGUCCACCUUCAUCGAGAACAGCCCGGAUCUCCUCAGCCCGACGAAGAUACUCGGUGAAUUUCUGGGUUAUAGCUUCGCGAAUCUUAGGGUUCUUCUCGUACUUCAAAUGGGUCUUGAAAUACUCGAGCGCGUUCAUAUACAAAGGGAAGGCUUUAGCAUAGUUACCUGCAUUAUCUUCUUGUACGGCUUGCCUUACGUACUCUAUAGCUUGCUCCUUAAAAUUGCUAUACAUCCUAAUCGAAGUUUCUGAUCAAUCAACAGAAGAUCGCAUAUGAGAUUUUUGGGGAGAAAUCAGAAACCCUAAAAUUUUUUUCCCAGUUUUGGAUUGAUUAAUUGAUAAUAAUUUGAUGAUGGGUUUCAAAAUUAGAGAGGAAGAAAGGGAUUUUGCAAGAAAAGAUUGGAAAUUGGAAAAUUGUGGAUUAAGGCUAAGGAGGAGGCAUUUCAAAGGAAUCAAAGCUUGUGAGGGGGACUGUGAAGACGAAAGCUCUAACUUCUAAUGAAAGUGGG